rnacentral:rRNA from 1 species
GAUGAACGCUGGCGGCGUGCCUAAUACAUGCAAGUCGAGCGAACAGACGAGGAGCUUGUUCCUCUGACGUUGGCGGGGGACGGGUGAGUAAGACGUGGAUCACCAACCUAUAAGUCUGGGAUAACUACGGGAAACCGGAGCUACUACUGGCUAAUACAUUCAACCGCAUGGUUCAAUAGUGAAAGACGGUUUUGCUGUCUCUUAUAGCUGGAUCCGUGCCGGAUUAGCUAGUUGGUAAGGUAACGGCUAACCAAGGCGACGAUGCGUAGCCGACCUGAGAGGAUGAUCGGCCACACUGGAACUGAGACACGGUCCAGACUCCUACGGGAGGCAGCAGUGGGGAAUAUUGGGCAAUGGGCGAAAGCCUGACCCAGCCACACCGCGUGAGUGAAGAAGGCCUUCGGGUCGUAAAGCUCUGUUGUUGGGAAAGAACAGAAGUAGGUGAAUCUAUGGACGUUUUGACGGUACCCAAAGAAAAAGCCACGGCUAACUACGUG